UACAGAGGGUGCGAGCGUUACUCGGAAUUACUGGGCGUAAAGCGCACGUAGGUGGCGACGUAAGUCGGGUGUGAAAGCCCCGGGCUCAACCUGGGAAUUGCAUUCGAGACUGCAUUGCUGGAGUACGGAAGAGGAAGGCGGAAUUCCCGGUGUAGCGGUGAAAUGCGUAGAUAUCGGGAGGAACAUCAGUGGCGAAGGCGGCCUUCUGGUCCAGUACUGACACUGAUAAGCGAAAGCCAGGGGAGCAAACGGG
rnacentral:rRNA from 1 species